rnacentral:sRNA from 1 species
CGACUUUGGGGUCGCGACGCGAGGGCUUUU